GACUCAUUUAAUGAAAGGGAGGAGGUGUUCAAAUUAAUAGCAGUGUGGAGUUCAAUUAGUCAGGUCAUUCAUUCUAUGAAGAAACAGGUGUCAAUUAUGGCUCUUAUUUAAAGAAAGAGGGCAGCAAAUGUUUUACA